GAGAGAGAGCGAGAGAGAGGUGUAGAGUGAGAGGGGGUGUGUGAGGAAAACAAAAAAAAACCUAGUGAGAGUGAAUGAGUGUGGACAGUGCCAGGAGAGAGCGACAGAGGGGGGGUGGAGGCAGAGAAAGGGGAGAGACUUACCGCCAGUGCAAAAGACUAAGGAGAGAGAGCAUAGUAGAGGAGGUACACAGACUCUCUCAGAAGACAAGUGCAGCACAAAGAAGUAGACUUUUAAAGAGAGGAAAACUGCUGUAAACAGCCAGACUGACAACCCAGUGAACUAAAGAUACAGAACCUUUAAAGAGGACAACAGAACAUCUUUCAGUAAGCUAAUUAGAUGAACUGAAACAGCUUAGAGGAGACCACACGAAUGAUAGGAAUAAGAAGAGGGGGAGAGAGAAAAGACAAUCCCAGAGCUUUGGGAUACCAUUAAAUUGUUUGCAUUUUUAUUUGACUCUGUUUGUCAGAGUUUUCAAUGGACAUUUGAGAAGUGUAUAAACUCUGUACUGAAAUUGGAGAGACUGACAUUGACAAACUCUGAAUCUAAACUCAUUCACUCCAAAGGUGCAGUGCCAUAAGUUCAACACCCCAAAGCUAUUUGGAU